CAGAAAACGGAGAAGCAUACUUCCCGUAGUUGUAGCAGUAGCUUGCCGGAGCCGGCGAUCGGAGAUACUUCCGUCCAUAGCCGAAGCUGAAAAUGCCUAGAGUUAAGACAAACCGUAUAAAAUACCCUGAGGGUUGGGAGUUGAUUGAGCCUACGUUAGCUGAACUGGAUGUUAAAAUGAGAGAAGCUGGCAAUGACUCUAAUGACGGUAAAAGAAAGUGUGAAGCACUCUGGCCCAUAUUCAAGGUUGCACAUCAGAGGAGCAGAUAUGUAUAUGACCUUUACUAUGGAAGGAAUGAAAUAUCUAAAGAGCUGUAUGAAUUCUGUUUGGAACAAGGUUAUGCAGAUCGCAACUUGAUUGCAAAGUGGAAAAAGCCUGGAUACGAGCGUCUCUGCUGCUUGCACUGCAUACAGCCCCGGGAUCACAACUUUGCGACUACUUGUGCGUGUCGUGUCCCCAAACACCUCAGGGAAACUGCUGUAAUUGAAUGUGUACAUUGUGGAUGUCAAGGUUGUGCAAGUGGUGACUAAUUUGCUUUUCCAAUAGCUGUAUGUUAUGAGAUCAGAUGUUCUUACUGGCUUUUCAAAGCAUUAGAAACCUUUUGUCUGUAAUGACCAAGGAUAGUGAUGGAUUAUUCAGUCUUUAACCUUUUAUCCUACUUGACUUUCAG
rnacentral:misc_RNA from 1 species